rnacentral:rRNA from 1 species
CCUACGGGGGGCUGCAGUGGGGGAUAUUGCACAAUGGGCGAAAGCCUGAUGCAGCGACGCCGCGUGAGGGAAGACGGUUUUCGGAUUGUAAACCUCUGUCUUCGGGGACGAAACAAGACGGUACCCGAGGAGGAAGCCACGGCUAACUACGUGCCAGCAGCCGCGGUAAUACGUAGGUGGCAAGCGUUGUCCGGAAUUACUGGGUGUAAAGGGAGUGUAGGCGGGACUUCAAGUCCGUUGUGAAACCGAUCGGCUCAACCGAUCGUUGCGGCGGAAACUGGAGUUCUUGAGUGAGGUAGAGGCAGGCGGAAUUCCCAGUGUAGCGGUGAAAUGCGUAGAUAUUGGGAGGAACACCAGUGGCGAAGGCGGCCUGCUGGGCCUUAACUGACGCUGAGGCUCGAAAGUGUGGGGAGCAAACAGGAUUAGAUACCCCAGUAGUC